CCUACGGGGGGCAGCAGUGAGGAAUAUUGGUCAAUGGGCGCGAGCCUGAACCAGCCAAGUAGCGUGAAGGAUGACUGCCCUACGGGUUGUAAACUUCUUUUAUAAAGGAAUAAAGUGAGGCACGUGUGCCGUUUUGUAUGUACUUUAUGAAUAAGGAUCGGCUAACUCCGUGCCAGCAGCCGCGGUAAUACGGAGGAUCCGAGCGUUAUGCGGAUUUAUUGGGUUUAAAGGGAGCGUAGAGGGGUUGUUAAGUCCGUUGUGAAAGUUUGCGGUUCAACCGUAAAAUUGCAAUUGAUACUGGCAGUCUUGCGUACAGUUGCGGUAGGCGGAAUUCGUGGUGUAGCUG
rnacentral:rRNA from 1 species